UCUGAUCAACAUUCACCAUAGUCCCCAGUCAGUAUUUCCUCGUCAAUGCAUCUAAACCACCAACUGACAUGGUAGAGAGCCAAAUGGGACAUAAAAAAACAGAGAAGAACCAUUAACACACACUUGGUUUUCGGACACAUCUUACAGCAAGAUGAUUUGUGGAGUUCUCACCUUCAGAGCUCCUCUUUCUUCAAGCUCUUCAUUCCCUUGUGAUUCAAAAAGACCUGCUAAGCAUUCUGCCAGACUCAAAAUUCAAUGCUCAAAUUCUAGUCCGGACAUUCCUUUAACCACCGAGAAGAUUGUAAAUGACUCUUAUUUGACUGGCGGUGCAUAUGAUUUUGAUAGAGCAUCAACGUCACUUACUCAGAAGUUAUUAUCAUCUCCAAAGAAGGUUACUAUUGUAAGGCACGGUCUUAGCUCUUGGAACAAAGAGAGUAGAGUUCAGGGAAGCUCAAACUUAUCUGUCUUAUCAGAAACAGGAGUGAGGCAAGCGGAGAGGUGUAGGAAAGCCUUGGGAAAUAUGUACUUUGAUCGGUGCUUUUCAAGUCCAAUAUCUCGUGCCAAGUCCACUGCCGAAGUCAUAUGGCAAGGGAGGGAAGAGCCACUGGUUUUUCUCGAUUCAUUGAAAGAGGCCCAUCUAUUUUACCUUGAAGGCAUGAAAAAUGUGGAUGCUAGGGAGAAAUAUCCAAAGGAGUACACAACAUGGAGAGAAGAUCCUGCUAAUUUUACUGUCAAUGGCAUCUACCCUGUGCGAAAGCUAUGGGGGACGGCUAGAGAAGCUUGGAAGGAAAUAUUGUUAUCAUCUGGAGAAAACUUUUUGGUCAUCACACAUAAGUCAAUAUUGAGGGCAUUGAUCUGUACAGCUUUGGGGCUAAGUCCAGAGAGGUUCCGUUCAAUUGAUGUAAAUAAUGGUGGCAUAUCUGUAUUCACUUUCAACAAAAAAGGAGAAGCAAUGCUUCAAUCUUUGAACAUGACAGCUCACAUGUACAAUGAUCAUACCUAUCUUUACUGAAACUUCAAGACUUCACUUUUUGGCGAGGAAGAAAAUUCUGCUGAAAGGAAACACACAGCAGAAACAGUGAUACAGUGCUCAUGGAAUGAUAAUGGGCAGAGUAAUUUUGUUUGGUUACCAUGAGGAGUUAAGGAUUGUAGUUUAGAAGUUGAAAAGGUGUAACGGAUGCAUAUUCUUAGCCCACGCUAUGGUCGCUUGUCCAUGCUAUCAUUUUUCUCGUUGAAGAAUGGAUUCUUACAAAGCAAGAGGGUUAAGGACUCGAGUUUGAGUCCCAACUUUGUGAAUUCAUUAACAAUCACAAAAAAAUGUAUACUUGGAACUGAUAAAGUGGCAGGCUUAGGAACCUGAAAAGCAGAGAUGUACUGAAGCUUUGUUUUGGCAAAGAGCUAAUAACUUGUCGGGGAGUCGAUGAACCGCUUGGUGUCAACCGUCCAUUUUCUUGGUCAUCACUUCCGGUAUCGUUUCUUGAUUUAAAAAAAAGGGUCAUGAGGCAGUGAGAGCUGAGUGUGUUCUAAUAGAAAUUACAUAUCACUGCAGAACUCUUUUGGCUGCCUUUGUUGAACGGUGAUACAAGGAAUUUAUGGAAAGCGAGAACGGAAAUGCGUGACCAUUUUAUUCUAUGUGAAAGAAAAAAGGUUACUAGAAAUGGACAUCAUAUAUUUGGUUUUUGCCAUCAAUAUUAUUGAAAUGGCAGAAGGAAUGUUGCACAGGAGAAGGUGUAAGUGCCUUCAGGCUGCUGCUUUUCUUCUUCUUUCUGGUUUGAAGUCUUCUGUGCUCAAGUAUCUGGCUGCCCACAAAAUUAAAAUACCCUCAAGCACCGGGAAUUGUCGUUUUAAGUUCUAUAAUUUGGUGCAAAAUACAGUGUAAAAGUAAGUAUAAAUACCACAUUAGUUAUCCAAAGAAUUUUGAAGGAGAAAGAAAAAAGUUAUGGCCA